GACAGAGGGUGCAAACGUUGCUCGGAAUCACUGGGCGUAAAGGGCGUGUAGGCGGACAUGUAAGUCGGGCGUGAAAUCCCUGGGCUCAACCCAGGAACUGCACUCGAAACUGCGUGUCUUGAGUGCCGGAGAGGAAAGCGGAAUACCUGGUGUAGGGGUGAAAUGCGCAGAUAUCAGGAAGAACACCCGUGGCGAAGGCGGCUCUCUGGGACGGUACUGACGCUGAGACGCGAAAGCGUGGGGAGCGAACAGG
rnacentral:rRNA from 1 species